AAACCGGUUGAUCCUGCCGGACCCGACCGCUAUCGGGGUGGGGCUAAGCCAUGCGAGUCGUACGCCCGGGGUCCGCCGGGCGUGGCGCACGGCUCAGUAACACGUGCCUAACCUACCCUCGGGAGGGGGACAACCCCGGGAAACUGGGGCUAAUCCCCCAUAGGGGAAGGGUGCUGGAAGGCCCCUUCCCCGAAAAGGACUGCGGUUGAUCUACCGCAAUCCGCCCGAGGAUGGGGGCACGGCCCAUCAUGGUAGUUGGCGGGGUAACGGCCCGCCAAGCCGAAGACGGGUGGGGGCCGUGAGAGCGGGAGCCCCGAGAUGGGCACUGAGACAAGGGCCCAGGCCCUACGGGGUGCAGCAGGCGCGAAAACUCCGCAAUGCGGGAAACCGUGACGGGGCCACCCCGAGUGUCGCCCGAAGAGGGCGACUUUUGCCCGGUGCAAAAAGCCGGGCGAAUAAGCGGGGGGCAAGUCUGGUGUCAGCCGCCGCGGUAAUACCAGCCCCGCGAGUGGUCGGGGUGCUUACUGGGCCUAAAGCGCCCGUAGCCGGCCCGGUAAGUCGCCCCUGAAAUCCACGGGCUCAACCCGUGGGCCGGGGGCGAAACUGCCGGGCUUGGGGGCGGGAGAGGCCGAGGGUACUCCCGGGGUAGGGGCGAAAUCCGAUAAUCCCGGGAGGACCACCAGUGGCGAAGGCGCUCGGCUGGAACGCGCCCGACGGUGAGGGGCGAAAGCUGGGGGAGCAAAGGGGAUUAGAUACCCCUGUAGUCCCAGCUGUAAACUAUGCGGGCUAGCUGUUGGGCGGGCUUAGGGCCCGCCCAGUGGCGGAGGGAAGCCGUUAAGCCCGCCGCCUGGGGAGUACGGCCGCAAGGCUGAAACUUAAAGGAAUUGGCGGGGGGGCACCACAAGGGGUGAAGCUUGCGGCUUAAUUGGAGUCAACGCCGGAAACCUUACCCGGGGCGACAGCAGGAUGAUGGCCAGGCUAACGACCUUGCCGGACGAGCUGAGAGGAGGUGCAUGGCCGUCGUCAGCUCGUGCCGUGAGGUGUCCGGUUAAGUCCGGCAACGAGCGAGACCCCCACCCCUAGUUGCUACUCGGUCCUUCGGGACCGGGGGCACACUAGGGGGACUGCCGGCGUAAGCCGGAGGAAGGAGGGGGCCACGGCAGGUCAGUAUGCCCCGAAACCCCGGGGCUGCACGCGAGCUGCAAUGGCGGGGACAGCGGGAUCCGACCCCGAAAGGGGGAGGCAAUCCCGUAAACCCCGCCCCAGUAGGAAUCGAGGGCUGCAACUCGCCCUCGUGAACGUGGAAUCCCUAGUAACCGCGUGUCACCAACGCGCGGUGAAUACGUCCCUGCCCCUUGCACACACCGCCCGUCGCGCCACCCGAGGGAGCCCCCAACGAGGCCUCUUUUCUCCAGGGUAAUCCCUGGGGAGGGGAGGACGAGUUGGGGGCUCCCGAGGGGGGCGAAGUCGUAACAAGGUGGCCGUAGGGGAACCUGCGGCCGGAUCACCUCCU
rnacentral:rRNA from 1 species